AUGUAGCCUGAUGGUCCUCGCACAUCGACAACGCAUUAUUUCGCUUCACCUCCCUCAUAGUCCUAAAAAUAAUCGAAAUCAGUUGAAUAAUAAAUUGACAAACUUUUGAAUUAAAAAAAGAUAUCGAUGCGAUACCAUGAAUCUGUUCUGGCUCACACUACGAUGUAUACAUCUCUAACUCGGAUAUGAUGGACCAUUAAUCUCGUGGCACCAUAAAUUGUAAGUACGUUUACAAAGUGGCUUGAGAUUAUUGUAAAGAAAUAUUCACGUAACGUGUUCUUGUAACGAUACUCAUUACAAUUUAGAAUUUACAAUAUGAAAAAGAGAACGCUGAGAAAUGAAUUAUCUUGCACAAUAGUGUAAUGGUAAGGGGAAAUACUUUCUACACAAUUCGAGCUGUGAUUAUUUUUAUUAGCACUCAUAAAAUUAUUAAUUCACGACGACGAGUAAUAAACCUUGAUUUAAUACUAGUAUAUCUCUAUGAUUUCACGUUAUAAAAUUUGGUAUUUUAAAUAAACAUUAUAUAUUUAGUAUUUAUAUUUACAAUGUGAGCCAUAAAAUCAGCUCCUGUCGAUGGAAAAUAGCAGGAAACUUGAUCACGGGAUAUAUGCUGUACUUGUCUCUUUAUGCUAUAAUAAGUAUAGUAUAAUGUGUCCACCAUGAUUAGUUAACCACAAAUCACUCAAGUUUUUGCAGUAUAUUUUUCUGAAUAUUCGUCAGUUUUAUAGUUUUUUCUCUUCCAUUAAUUUCUUUAUUUGUCACGUUUAGAACACAUCUUUAGCCUAGAAAAUCUUCUUGAUAUCAUUCACUUUGCACCCAUCUUUACGUUUCUCUCUAAGAGC